UUUACAGUAACCACGUCAAAUCUCUCAUAUAUCAAUCAAGUUGUCCUUACAGUAACCACCUCAAAUCUCUCAUACAUCAAUCAAGUUGUCCUUACAAUAACCACCUCAGAUCUCUCAUAUAUCCUCAGAUCUCUCAUAUAUCAAUCAAGUUGUGCUUCAUAAAUAAGACAAUUUUUCAAACCUGUACGAGUGCCCCUCUCCUCUUAGGUUUACACAAAACCGCACAUACAUAUGUACUAUACGAGAUUCCAUGUAUAUUGAUUUCAUUAGUAGCUUCUACUACAUCACGGACCAUGCAAGAAAUCCAUACAUUUGAGCAUGCUAGUCACUAAAAGUAUGUGAAGAUCAUCACCAAUACUAGAGUACAUGAGAACAUUAAUCUAUCCACUUGAAAUCAUAACUAAACAUACAUUUCAAAUUGCAUGAUCGCGGACCAAACACAACAGAAGAGACACACAUACAUAACUUAUCAAGUGUAACAUAGCAUGCAAGGAUCAUUUUCGGUACAUCUCAUGCAAAACUAAUUAUGAAGGACCAAAAUAAUCACAUUGCAUCAACUUUUGCUACUUGAUGGCACAUAACAGAAAAGCUAUUGCCUCUGCCUCCAUUACUAGUGCUUAUUGCUCAUCGAGCUUCUUGUGCUGGGAGAGAUCAAACCUAAUAACAAAUCAGAUUCAGUUAGCACAUGUCUGUACAAGUGCCAAGCACUUAUUGCUCAUGAUCUAAUCAAAUAAAUAUGCAUCAACAAUGCCAUCUCGCUGUGUGCUGCACAUACCACAUGGAAGGAAAAAUAGAGAUGAAUCAAAUUCAUCCCAAAACACAACCUGAGGUAUGCUUCUAUGCUGGAACUGGCAGAACUGCUAGCUAUUUUGUGGAUCAUCCUAACUCUAAUAAUGGAACAGAUUAUAAAACAUUAUUUAUCUUGUACAAAAAAACACUCUGGUGCAGAUUCUGUUCAUAGGUGAGAUUGGCAACUACUGGCGGAAUUAGGCAAUACAAAUAUUUACAUAUAAAGUUUGGAUAAACUUAGGUUAACAAGCAAAUGCAGAAUCAUAUUAGACAUCAAUCCUAUAAACCUUUGGGAUUUUCAAAUAGAUCAUCGUAUGUUCAAAUAAGAAAAUAGCCGUAUGAUCAAAUAGUAUCCCUCGAUGCAUCUGGACAGUUCUAUCACUCAAAAGCAGUCAUAAUUCAAGAAGAACAAUAGUAGCUAUAACUAGUUAACCACAUAGAUAGUACAAUAUUACACACACAACAAUGGCAAUUGUUCACAUGUGAAAGAAAAAUGUGCACCUAGAAAGUAUAGAAGGCAAAAUAGGAGCUACCUUGUGCAUAUUGGAAAUCAUGAAAUCACCAAGUUAGGUCAUCCUGUAAUUAAUCGUUGACCCUCAGGUCACAUUUUCGUUGACAAGAAGAUUUUUCGGCAAACAAGUGCGACUACUUUUCUUUUUCUGGAAGAAGACAUUCAGUUUUCUUUUGACUAUAAAGCUUGAACAGAAUGCAUCGAUCAUAUUAACCAAAAAAAUAGGCAUUCUCCAAAGCACCUACGGCCCUCCUCCUUAAAUCUACAACCCACACCAGUAAAUGGAUUUUAUUAGUUAUUGAUGCUUAGAGAAAAAAUAAUUUUCAAUGAGAAAAAUAAAAGGACCAUGGUCUUUUCCGCCCUUUCAAAGAGAGAGGAAUUUGUUAAAAUCUGCGAGCUCCAGGGUUCAAAUACAUGGAGAUCGACAGGAAGCACAAAAUGUAACAAUACUUUUGUCGAUUGACGGUCACUAGUCACCACUAUCAAACAACACUAGAGACCAGGCCGCCAACUAAGCAUAUGCUACCAUGCGAUACAACCUAAAGGGGGUACUGAGAGUCUCCUGAUACUGAGAGUCUAAAUGUGUUGUACACAAAAUCCAGAUACUGAGAGUCUUCUGAAACAUAUCAAAUUAAGGAAGUCAUCUCCAAUUGCCAGGUUGCAAAUUAGAAGGUACAGUCUUAUUUUACACGUGGAAGGUUACAAUGAAUGCAAACUGAAACAAGAAUGAUAUACUUCAACUUCUCGGUUAAAUAUAUACCCUAUUCUCUAACUAUUUUGGUCACGUGAAUUCGAUAUUUAAAAAUCUAAAACAACACAUGAACACACUGCUAGUCAUAUUCAAGUUUCUCAGCCUCUCACCAGAAUCUACUAUGUCCAUCUGGUUUUGCUCCAACUCUCUGUGCACUCCUUCGAAAAUUAAAGGAGUAAGCUUGUCCGUUUCAUCAAAUAUAGUUAAAACCACGGGUGAGGCGCUUUGGAGCUCAACCUCCAUUGAACCACUUUUUUUGGAAAAUACAAAAUGCAUAUUUAAAAGUAGAACGAAAUUCUGAACAAAAAUCUAACAUGUACGUAUACACUGCAUAUGUGUAAAUUUUCAAUAGAUGGAUAUGCUUCUUCUUGAACACAACACAGUACAAAAUAUGAGCUACAAUGACAAAUGUUGACAGACCCAUGUGUUUUUGGUUAGCAUACCACAACUAAGUCCUAUCAGUAAGCAUCAUGCUAUGUUUAAUCAUCAAAGAAUACCAGUGAAAGCCAUCCACGUCAUCACAGGAGAGGGAAGCUACCAUUAGAGAUAAAUCUAUAGGAGGGAGAGGGGAGAGGGGAGUGGGAGAAACGCAGCUGACCUAGCUGCUGAUCCUGCGAGGUGAAGGAGGCGAGGAGAUCGAGCACCACCGGCUUGCCUCCGGUGAGAUAUUAUUGGAUCUAGGAGCACCGGGGAGGAGACCGUGGCAGCAUCACGGCGCACUAGACCAGUACCAGGUUGCCUCCAGAUCUAGAAUAUGCAGCUGAGCGGGCGGACCGCCCGCGGCCACCAGGGAGGAGGAGACCGUGGCGGCAGCGGUGGCCCGGUCGCUGACGACGAUGCGCAGCGUGAUGUUGCCCUGGGGACGGCCCCAAGAGACAUGGAUGCCGGAGUAGAAGGGGACGAGGCAGGGAGCAGGUGCCGUGGGAGUAGCUGUCGUCGACCAGGGAAGCACCGGAUCUGCCUGGCCGCCGCCCCCGUCGACGAGGGAUUGUUGGGGAACGGUGAAGCGAGCGACAGAGAGAGUCUGUUUGAAGGGGAGGGACCUGACGCAAAUUACUGGGAGCACAGGGACAUAUUUGCACAGAGUUGUGUCGUUAUGAAUACAGAUCUAUCCUCAUGAAUCAGUAGCGUACAUCAAUGAUCCAACAGCCCAGGAUCUUUUUUCUAUUCUUUCACCGUAUGCCUAGAUUCUAUACUAGCCCCAUCCGCCAAGGGUGGAAGCACACGGGAAAUUUGUUAUAUUAUUAUACUAUUUUUAGCGGAUCAAUGUGUGGUAAUUUCUAAGUCUUUU
rnacentral:lncRNA from 1 species